GAUGAAGAACGCAGCGAAAUGCGAUAAGUAAUGCGAAUUGCAGAAUUCAGUGAGUCAUCGAAUCUUUGAACGCACAUUGCGCCCUGUGGUAUUCCGCAGGGCAUGCCUGUUCGAGCGUCAUUUCAACCCUCAAGCCCCGCUUGGUGUUGGGCCCCGCCCGCUGUGGCCGGCCCUAAAGACAGUGGCGGCGCCGCCUGGCCCUCAGCGUAGUACAUCUCUCGCUCCAGGGUCCGGCGGCCGCCUGCCAGAACCCCCCAACUCUGUGGUUGACCUCGGAUCAGGUAGGGAUACCCGCUGAACUUAAGCAUAUCAAUAAGCGGAGGA
rnacentral:misc_RNA from 1 species